AGUUCGAUCAUGGCUCAGAUUGAAUCGCUGGCGGGAUGGCUACAUGACAAGUCGAAAACCAGCACGGACUUCGCUGGUCUGGUGGCGAGUAUGAAUGGGUGAGUAAUACCGGAACGUAGUUUUAGUAGCGGGGGAUAACUACGCGAAAGCGUAGCUAAUACCGCAUACACACCCCCUUCGUGGCGGGGACCUUUCGGGCCUGCACUAUUAGAGCGGCCGAUAAUGGAUUAGCUAGUUGGUGGGGUAACGGCUCGUAACUAAGGCGACUAAUCCGUGGCUGGUUUGAGAGGACACACGCAGCCACACAGACGGAGACAUGGCCCAGACUCCCGGAGCAAGUGGGGAAUUUUGGACAAUGGGGGAAACCCCGAUCCAGCCAUCCUGGGCGUGUGCGAUGAAGGCCUUCGCUGUAAAAGCACUUUUGGCAGGAAAGAAACGGCACGGGAUAUACUCCCUGCGCAACUGACGGCACUGCAGAAUGGCACCGCCAACUACGUGCCAGCAGCCGCGGUAAUACGUAUGGUGCAAGCGUUAAUCGGAACUACUGGCGUAAAGGUAUAAGGCGGUCUGGAAAGAAAAGAUGAAAUCCCAGAGCUUAACUUUGGAACUGCAUUUUUAACUACCGGAGCCAGAGUGUGUCAGAGGGAGUGAACGCGUAGCAGAAAUGCGUAGAUAUGCGGAGGAACACCGAUGGCGAAGGCCUCUGGAUAACACUGACGUUCAUGCACGAAAGCGUGGGGAGCAAACAGGAUUAGAUAAUUCCGGUAGUCCACGCCCUAAACGAUGUCAGCUCGUUGGGGCCUUCGGGCUCUGGUAGCGCGGCUAACGGGUGGGUGAAGUUGACCGCCUGGGGAGCACGGUCGCAAGAUUAAAACUCAAAGGAAUUGACGGGGACUCGCACAAGCGGUGGAUGAUGUGGAUUAAUUGAUGCAACGCGAAAAACCUUACCUACCCUUGAUACAAGUUCAGCAAACUCGAAGAGAUUUGGGAGUUCGCAAUAGAACCGGAACACAGGUAAAGUUGCAUGCAUGUCGUCAGCUCGUGUCGUGAGAUGUUGGGUUAAGUCCCGCAACGAGCAACUCCUUGUCAUUAGUUGCCACAGUGGCACUCACGAGACUGCCGGUGACAAACCGGAGGAAGGUGGGGAUGACGUCAAGUCCUCAUGGCCCUUAUGGUAGGCUUUCAGAAGGACGUCAGCGUGAAUGGAGUCGGACAGAGGGUCGCCAACCCGCGAGGGGAGCCAAUCCCAGAAACCCGAUCAGCUGGAUCGCAGUCUGCAACUCGACUGCGGAAGUCGAACGCCAGCAACGCGGAUCAGCAUGUUUCGCGGUGGAAUACGUUCCUGGCCCGGUGCUGACACUGUGCCCGUCACACCAUGGGAGUGGGUUUUACCAGAAGUAGUUACCUAAACCGGAAAAGGGAGGCUACUGUUUCAUUGCAGGAUUCAUGACUGGGGUGAAGUCGUAACAAGGUAG
rnacentral:rRNA from 1 species